ACUUAGUGGCGGAUGGGUGAGUAACGCGUGGAUAACCUGCCUUACACUGGGGGAUAACACUUAGAAAUAGGUGCUAAUACCGCAUAAGCGCACAGAGCCGCAUGGCUCAGUGUGAAAAACUCCGGUGGUGUAAGAUGGAUCCGCGUCUGAUUAGCUAGUUGGCGGGGUAGAAGCCCACCAAGGCGACGAUCAGUAGCCGGCCUGAGAGGGUGAACGGCCACAUUGGGACUGAGACACGGCCCAAACUCCUACGGGAGGCAGCAGUGGGGAAUAUUGCACAAUGGGGGAAACCCUGAUGCAGCAACGCCGCGUGAGUGAAGAAGUCAUUCGUGUUGUAAAGCUCUAUCAGCAGGGAAGAAAAUGACGGUACCUGAGUAAGAAGCCCCGGCUAACUACGUGCCAGCAGCCGCGGUAAUACGUAGGGGGCAAGCGUUAUCCGGAUUUACUGGGUGUAAAGGGAGCGUAGACGGCCAGACAAGUCUGAAGUGAAAAUCCAGCGCUUAACGUUGGAAGUGCUUUGGAAACUGCCGGGCUAGAGUGCAGGAGGGGCAGGCGGAAUUCCUAGUGUAGCGGUGAAAUGCGUAGAUAUUAGGAGGAACACCAGUGGCGAAGGCGGCCUGCUGGACUGCAACUGACGUUGAGGCUCGAAGGCGUGGGGAGCAAACAGGAUUAGAUACCCUGGUAGUCCACGCGGUAAACGAUGAUUACUAGGUGUCGGGGGG
rnacentral:rRNA from 1 species